GUGGUAUCCUGUCUGAAUAUGGGGGGACCAUCCUCCAAGGCUAAAUACUCCUGACUGACCGAUAGUGAACCAGUACCGUGAGGGAAAGGCGAAAAGAACCCCGGCGAGGGGAGUGAAAAAGAACCUGAAACCGUGUACGUACAAGCAGUGGGAGCACAGAGCAAUCUGUGUGACUGCGUACCUUUUGUAUAAUGGGUCAGCGACUUAUAUUCUGUAGCAAGGUUAACCGAAUAGGGGAGCCGAAGGGAAACCGAGUCUUAACUGGGCGUUAAGUUGCAGGGUAUAGACCCGAAACCCGGUGAUCUAGCCAUGGGCAGGUUGAAGGUUGGGUAACACUAACUGGAGGACCGAACCGACUAAUGUUGAAAAAUUAGCGGAUGACUUGUGGCUGGGGGUGAAAGGCCAAUCAAACCGGGAGAUAGCUGGUUCUCCCCGAAAGCUAUUUAGGUAGCGCCUCGUGAAUUCAUCUCCGGGGGUAGAGCACUGUUUCGGCAAGGGGGUCAUCCCGACUUACCAACCCGAUGCAAACUGCGAAUACCGGAGAAUGUUAUCACGGGAGACACACGGCGGGUGCUAACGUCCGUCGUGAAGAGGGAAACAACCCAGACCGCCAGCUAAGGUCCCAAAGUCAUGGUUAAGUGGGAAACGAUGUGGGAAGGCCCAGACAGCCAGGAUGUUGGCUUAGAAGCAGCCAUCAUUUAAAGAAAGCGUAAUAGCUCACUGGUCGAGUCGGCCUGCGCGGAAGAUGUAACGGGGCUAAACCAUGCACCGAAGCUGCGGCAGCGACACUGUGUGUUGUUGGGUAGGGGAGCGUUCUGUAAGCCUGUGAAGGUGUGCUGUGAGGCAUGCUGGAGGUAUCAGAAGUGCGAAUGCUGACAUAAGUAACGAUAAAGCGGGUGAAAAGCCCGCUCGCCGGAAGACCAAGGGUUCCUGUCCAACGUUAAUCGGGGCAGGGUGAGUCGACCCCUAAGGCGAGGCCGAAAGGCGUAGUCGAUGGGAAACAGGUUAAUAUUCCUGUACUUGGUGUUACUGCGAAGGGGGGACGGAGAAGGCUAUGUUGGCCGGGCGACGGUUGUCCCGGUUUAAGCGUGUAGGCUGGUUUUCCAGGCAAAUCCGGAAAAUCAAGGCUGAGGCGUGAUGACGAGGCACUACGGUGCUGAAGCAACAAAUGCCCUGCUUCCAGGAAAAGCCUCUAAGCAUCAGGUAACAUCAAAUCGUACCCCAAACCGACACAGGUGGUCAGGUAGAGAAUACCAAGGCGCUUGAGAGAACUCGGGUGAAGGAACUAGGCAAAAUGGUGCCGUAACUUCGGGAGAAGGCACGCUGAUAUGUAGGUGAAGUCCCUCGCGGAUGGAGCUGAAAUCAGUCGAAGAUACCAGCUGGCUGCAACUGUUUAUUAAAAACACAGCACUGUGCAAACACGAAAGUGGACGUAUACGGUGUGACGCCUGCCCGGUGCCGGAAGGUUAAUUGAUGGGGUCAGCGCAAGCGAAGCUCUUGAUCGAAGCCCCGGUAAACGGCGGCCGUAACUAUAACGGUCCUAAGGUAGCGAAAUUCCUUGUCGGGUAAGUUCCGACCUGCACGAAUGGCGUAAUGAUGGCCAGGCUGUCUCCACCCGAGACUCAGUGAAAUUGAACUCGCUGUGAAGAUGCAGUGUACCCGCGGCAAGACGGAAAGACCCCGUGAACCUUUACUAUAGCUUGACACUGAACAUUGAGCCUUGAUGUGUAGGAUAGGUGGGAGGCUUUGAAGUGUGGACGCCAGUCUGCAUGGAGCCGACCUUGAAAUACCACCCUUUAAUGUUUGAUGUUCUAACGUGGACCCGUGAUCCGGGUUGCGGACAGUGUCUGGUGGGUAGUUUGACUGGGGCGGUCUCCUCCUAAAGAGUAACGGAGGAGCACGAAGGUUGGCUAAUCCUGGUCGGACAUCAGGAGGUUAGUGCAAUGGCAUAAGCCAGCUUGACUGCGAGCGUGACGGCGCGAGCAGGUGCGAAAGCAGGUCAUAGUGAUCCGGUGGUUCUGAAUGGAAGGGCCAUCGCUCAACGGAUAAAAGGUACUCCGGGGAUAACAGGCUGAUACCGCCCAAGAGUUCAUAUCGACGGCGGUGUUUGGCACCUCGAUGUCGGCUCAUCACAUCCUGGGGCUGAAGUAGGUCCCAAGGGUAUGGCUGUUCGCCAUUUAAAGUGGUACGCGAGCUGGGUUUAGAACGUCGUGAGACAGUUCGGUCCCUAUCUGCCGUGGGCGCUGGAGAACUGAGGGGGGCUGCUCCUAGUACGAGAGGACCGGAGUGGACGCAUCACUGGUGUUCGGGUUGUCAUGCCAAUGGCACUGCCCGGUAGCUAAAUGCGGAAGAGAUAAGUGCUGAAAGCAUCUAAGCACGAAACUUGCCCCGAGAUGAGUUCUCCCUGACCCUUUAAGGGUCCUGAAGGAACGUUGAAGACGACGACGUUGAUAGGCCGGGUGUGUAAGCGCAGCGAUGCGUUGAGCUAACCGGUACUAAUGAACCGUGAGGCUUAACCUUACAACGCCGAAGGUGUUU
rnacentral:rRNA from 1 species